CAGCAGCCGCGGUAAUACGUAGGGUGCGAGCGUUAAUCGGAUUUACUGGGCGUAAAGCGUGCGCAGGCGGCCCGUUAAGACAGGUGUGAAAUCCCUGGGCUCAACCUAGGAAUUGCGCUUGUGACUGGCGGGCUCGAGUACGGUAGAGGGGGGUGGAAUUCCUGGUGUAGCAGUGAAAUGCGUAGAGAUCAGGAGGAACACCGAUGGCGAAGGCAGCCCCCUGGGCCUGUACUGACGCUCAUGCACGAAAGCGUGGGGAGCAAACAGGAUUAGAUACCCUGGUAGUCCACGCCCUAAACGAUGGGUACUAGCCGUUUGGUGCACGAAAGCGCUGAGUGGCGAAGCUAACGCGUGAAGUACCCCGCCUGGGGAGUACGGCCGCAAGGUUGAAACUUAAAGGAAUUGGCGGGG
rnacentral:rRNA from 1 species